AUUUUUCUCUUUUAACUAUGGUUAUGUGUGCCGCGGAAUUGAUUCUUGACGAAGUAUCUUCGUAUGAAUCUCAGAAACGGUAAACCUAGUUUUCAUGUUAGGAUUUUUUUUUUCCUUUUAAAAAAUUGGAUAUGGAUUUUUGUUGAAUCGUCAAAUUAUUGCUUGUUCUCUUUUACCCAUAGCUACACACUAGCAGAGCGAAGGUAUGGAGGAAAAUCUGGGAAGAUAAUUUCAAUUUUGAUUCAAUGGAAAGAAGAAAGCUUAAACAUGAUUAUUCCGAGGCUUUGAUGUUGAACAACUAAAGGUUGAAGCAUUGUUGGGUUUCGUGACUGAAUCCGACAAAGAUAGUGUUUAAUUCUCCAAGAGUCUAUUAAGUCAACCACUAUAGUAACGGAAAUGAAGGGAGUGUCUUGUAAGAUAAUACGAUUAAACUCUAGAACAUGUCAGAGAUCUUCUUUCAGGUCAUAAAAAAAGCUCUUAAAAAAGGUUGCUACAUUUUUAUGAAGUGAGAGAUGGAAGGACGUUGCACUACAACUAACCAGCGAGUCGAACCAGAUGCAACAAUUCAUUGCAAUACUGUUAGAACCAGAUAUAAAUAAAAAAUUAUAUAUGUUUAGAUAGCAUAUUUAUAAAUAUACCCCUAUACUUCUAAUAUUUACACGUUUCCCCUAAGCUCACGUAUCCUCAUUUGGGACAUGCCGUUUCUCCGUGUCCGUUUCCCCAUUUUCCCGUAUCGCCAUUUUCGUGUCCGCGCUAAGCAACUAGUAACUAAAUCAUAUGUUGAUGGCCAAGAGCUCUUUAGAAAACUUGAGACAAUUUGUUGACACUAUAAGCAUUAAAAUGAACAUGAAAAGUAAAAAUUCAAUA